rnacentral:rRNA from 1 species
GACGAACGCUGGCGGCGUGCUUAACACAUGCAAGUCGAACGGAAAGGCCCUGCUUUUGUGGGGUGCUCGAGUGGCGAACGGGUGAGUAACACGUGAGUAACCUGCCCUUGACUUUGGGAUAACUUCAGGAAACUGGGGCUAAUACCGGCUAGGAGCUCCUGCUGCAUGGUGGGGGUUGGAAAGUUUCGGCGGUUGGGGAUGGACUCGCGGCUUAUCAGCUUGUUGGUGGGGUAGUGGCUUACCAAGGGUUUGACGGGUAGCCGGCCUGAGAGGGUGACCGGCCACAUUGGGACUGAGAGACGGCCCAGACUCGUACGGGAGGCAGCAGGGGGGAAUAUUGUACAAUGGGCGGAAGCCUGAUGCAGCAACGCCGCGUGUGGGAUGACGGCCUUCGGGUUGUAAACCGCUUUCGCCUGUGACGAAGCGUGAGUGACGGUAAUGGGUAAAGAAGCACCGGCUAACUACGUG